rnacentral:misc_RNA from 1 species
AAGGAGUCUAACAUGCUUGCGAGUAUUUGGGUGUCAAACCCGGAUGCGCAAUGAAAGUGAAUGGAGGUGGGAAGCGCAAGCUGCACCAUCGACCGAUCUGGAUUUCUUAAGAUGGAUUUGAGUAAGAGCAAGUAUGUUGGGACCCGAAAGAUGGUGAACUAUGCCUGAAUAGGGCGAAGCCAGAGGAAACUCUGGUGGAGGCUCGUAGCGGUUCUGACGAGCAAAUCGAUCGUCAAAUUUGGGUAUAGGGGCGAAAGACUAAUCGAACCAUCUAGUAGCUGGUUCCUGC